rnacentral:rRNA from 1 species
UUGAACGCUGGCGGUAUGCUUAACACAUGCAAGUCGAACGGAAACGAUACUAGCUUGCUAGUAGGCGUCGAGUGGCGGACGGGUGAGUAACGCGUAGGAAUCUGCCUGAUAGUGGGGGAUAGCCCGAAGAAAUUCGGAUUAAUACCGCAUAAUCUAUUCGUAGUAAAGUGGGGGACUUUCGAGCCUCACGCUAUCAGAUGAGCUUGCGUAAGAUUAGCUAGUUGGUAGGGUAAAAGCCUACCAAGGCUACGAUCUUUAGCUGGUCUGAGGGGAUGAUCAGCCACAUCGGGACUGAGACACGGCCCGAACUCCUACGGGAGGCAGCAGUGGGGAAUAUUGGACAAUGGGGGCAACCCUGAUCCAGCAAUACCGCGUGUGUGAAGAAGGCCUGAGGGUUGUAAAGCACUUUCAAUUGUGAAGAAAAGUUAACGGUUAAUAACCGUUAGCCUUGACGUUAACUUUAGAAGAAGCACCGGCUAACUCCGUGCCAGCAGCCGCGGUAAUACGGAGGGUGCAAGCGUUAAUCGGAAUUACUGGGCGUAAAGCGUGCGUAGGCGGUUUAUUAAGUCAGAUGUGAAAGCCCGGGGCUUAACCUGGGAACUGCAUUUGAAACUGGUCAACUAGAGUAUGGUAGAGGAAAGUGGAAUUUCUGGUGUAGCGGUGAAAUGCGUAGAUAUCAGAAAGGAACAUCAAUGGCGAAGGCAGCUUUCUGGACCAAUACUGACGCUGAGGUACGAAAGCGUGGGUAGCAAACAGGAUUAGAUACCCUGGUAGUCCACGCCGUAAACGAUGAUAACUAGCCGUUGGGGGGAUUUACCCUUUAGUGGCGAAGCUAACGCGUUAAGUUAUCCGCCUGGGGAGUACGGCCGCAAGGUUAAAACUCAAAGGAAUUGACGGGGACCCGCACAAGCGGUGGAGCAUGUGGUUUAAUUCGAUGCAACGCGAAGGACCUUACCUGGUCUUGACAUCCUGCGAACUUUCUAGAAAUAGAUUGGUGCCUUCGGGAACGCAGUGACAGGUGCUGCAUGGCUGUCGUCAGCUCGUGUCGUGAGAUGUUGGGUUAAGUCCCGUAACGAGCGCAACCCCUAUCCUUAUUUGCCAGCACGUCAUGGUGGGAACUAUAAGGAGACUGCCGGUGAUAAACCGGAGGAAGGCGGGGACGACGUCAAGUCAUCAUGGCCCUUACGACCAGGGCUACACACGUGCUACAAUGGGAAGGACAAAGAGCCGCGAAGCCGCGAGGUGUAGCUAAUCUCAGAAACCUUUUCGUAGUCCGGAUUGGAGUCUGCAACUCGACUCCAUGAAGUCGGAAUCGCUAGUAAUCGUAGAUCAGAAUGCUACGGUGAAUACGUUCCCGGGUCUUGUACACACCGCCC